AUCCAGCUGACGAGUCUUAAAUAGGAUGAAAAAGGCAUCCUGGAU
rnacentral:hammerhead_ribozyme from 1 species